rnacentral:rRNA from 1 species
GGCCAGGCGGCGUGCUUAACAUGCAAGUCGACGAUGAACCGGUUUCGGCCGGGGAUUAGUGGCGAACGGGUGAGUAACACGUGGGCAAUCUGCCCUGCACUCUGGGAUAAGCCCGGGAAACUGGGUCUAAUACCGGAUACGACGCUCCAAGGCAUCUUGGGGUGUGGAAAGUUCCGGCGGUGCAGGAUGAGCCCGCGGCCUAUCAGCUUGUUGGUGGGGUAAUGGCCUACCAAGGCGACGACGGGUAGCCGGCCUGAGAGGGUGACCGGCCACACUGGGACUGAGACACGGCCCAGACUCCUACGGGAGGCAGCAGUGGGGAAUAUUGCACAAUGGGCGAAAGCCUGAUGCAGCGACGCCGCGUGAGGGAUGACGGCCUUCGGGUUGUAAACCUCUUUCAGCAGGGAAGAAGCGAGAGUGACGGUACCUGCAGAAGAAGCACCGGCUAACUACGUGCCAGCAGCCGCGGUAAUACGUAGGGUGCGAGCGUUGUCCGGAAUUAUUGGGCGUAAAGAGCUCGUAGGCGGUUUGUCGCGUCGAUUGUGAAAGCCCGGGGCUUAACCCUGGGUCUGCAGUCGAUACGGGCAGGCUAGAGUUCGGCAGGGGAGACUGGAAUUCCUGGUGUAGCGGUGAAAUGCGCAGAUAUCAGGAGGAACACCGGUGGCGAAGGCGGGUCUCUGGGCCGAUACUGACCUAGGACGAAAACCUGGGGGGGAAAAAAAAGCCA